rnacentral:rRNA from 1 species
GAUUUCUGGCUUGAAACAUUUGGCCGGCCACGGUUUCGUGUGUUAGUGCUUUAUGGUCUGGCCAUCCUUCCAAUUUCUAUUCACUAUUCUUCAUUGAUUGGUGGAUGGGAUUGGAUCUUUUACUUUGAAAAAAUUAGAGUGUUUCAAGCAGGCUUUAUGCUAUGAAUACAUUAGCAUGGAAUAAUAAUUUAGGACUUCGGUUCUAUUUUGUUGGUUUCUAGGACUGAAGUAAUGAUUGAUAGGGAUAGUUGGGGGUGCUAGUAUUCAGCGGCCAGAGGUGAAAUUCUCGGAUUCGCUGAAGACUAACUUAUGCGAAAGCAUU